AUACGGAGGAUCCGAGCGUUAUCCGGAUUUAUUGGGUUUAAAGGGUGCGCAGGCGGCCAUUUAAGUCAGCGGUUAAAUCGUGGGGCUCAACCCCAUUCUGCCGUUGAUACUGGGUGGCUUGAUUGCGGUCGAGGUUGGCGGAAUUCGUUGUGUAGCGGGGAAAUGCAUAGAUAUGACGAAGAACACCGAUUGCGUAGGCAGCUGACCAGACCGCAAAUGACGCUCAUGCACGAAAGUGCGGGGAUCGAACAGGAUUAGAUACCCUGGUAGUCCGCACAGUAAACGAUGAAUACUUGUUUUCGGCGAUAUAAUGUCGGAGGCAAAGCGAAAGCGUUAAGUAUUCCACCUGGGGAGUACGCCGGCAACGGUGAAACUCAAAGGAAUUGGCGGGG
rnacentral:rRNA from 1 species